AUAGCACUAAAGUACUCUCUCACAGAAAUCCUCUCUAGUGGUGUUCCAAGAUGACUCGACCACCAAUGACAUCAGGCGGGCGUUCUUAUGGGACAGGACCAACUACCCAACCCUCUGGUUCUCAAGCUGCUGGUGCCCAAAGACAUGUUGCAAACCAUGAACCAGUUUAGAAUAGGGAAGAAGUUGCACAUGUUCCUGUACAACGUGAUGUUCGUGUACUCCACCCAGCUAGACAAAAUGGAGCUAAAUGGUUCAAAAACAACACUGAAGUAUCAACUUGUGUUCGAAAGAUCAUUGAAGGUUGUUUUAGAGGACCAUGGUAUAGCUGGAAAAAAGUACCACCGUUUUAUAAAGAUGCAUGGUUUUCAACCUUUCAGGUGAGUUUGAAUGGUAUAUAAAUCUGAUGUAUUUUUUUUUUACAUAUGUUAAAUGAUAUCAUAUAUAUAACGUUUAUAUACUUAUCAAUUUGAUAUCAUAUAAUUUGUAGACUAAAUUUGAGUGGGAUGCCUCGAUUGAAAAUCUUGUUAAAGAAAACUUUGAUCAACUUGCCGCUACCCGUCUCAAAGGAAUGGUUAGUCUCGCAAAGUCAAAUGGAGAAAAACCUGAUUGGAUUUUGUCUGAUUACUGGAGGGUAAUGUCUGAGUAUUGGAGAACAUCAAAGGCCAAAGAUAAAAGUGAGAAAGCACGCGCUUCUCGUCUAUUUAGACGUGAUGGCUUAGGUGUACACAGACACAGAGCAGGCUCACGUUCUUAUGCUAAAGUUCAGGAUGUUUUGGAGGCAAACAAUGAAGACUCUUCUUUCAUUGCUGUGCUGAAAAAAACACACCAGAAAUCUGAUGGAACUUAUGUUGAUGAAAGAGCUCGACUAAUUGCUGAGAAAUUUGAUGAAUGUGUUCAAGAACGCUUGUCUGAAAUGGAAAAUUCUAAUGGAGAGGAUUUGACGAUAGACAAUCUCACCCUUGAAGAGAAAAAUGAAAUCUAUUCUAAGGUAAGAGCUUAAACUUUUAUUUCACUUUUAAUUUGUUUUCCCUAAAGUCUGAGUUUUAUACAUGGUAUUUUAGUUUUCGACAAAAACAGAAAUACAUAUUUUAGUUUUUUAGUUCUAAACAUUGUGUUUUAUUGCUUUUAUGUGGUUAUAAAUCUGGUGUUAUAAUAUCUGAGUUGUAAACAUGACUUUUUUGUAGAUUGUUGGAACAUCAAAACAAAGUCGUGUAUUUGGACUUGGGUCACUCCAAAGAGGUGUUUUAAUGCCUUUAGAGUCUUCGACGGGUUCUCCACUAGGUAAUGCAGAUGUGGGAACAAUAACUCAUCGAGUGGAAGAGCUUGAAGCUGAAUUGCAAAAGAGUCAUGAUGAGUACGAAGACCUUAAGAAACGAGUUGAAGCUCUGGAGGCUUUCUGCUUCAACACAAACUAGUUUGGCUUAUGGUGUUAUUUCUGGUUUUGGUUUUUGGUGUUAUUUUAUUGGUUUUUAGUUGCUUUAUUCACUUGCUAUGAUUUUUUUCAUUUAAAUUUAUGUUC